GCGUGCGCAGGCGGUUAUGUAAGACAGAUGUGAAAUCCCCGGGCUCAACCUGGGAACUGCAUUUGUGACUGCAUGGCUAGAGUACGGUAGAGGGGGAGUGGAAUUCCGCGUGUAGCAGUGAAAUGCGUAGAUAUGCGGAGGAACACCGAUGGCGAAGGCAAUCCCCUCGGACCUGUACUGACGCUCAUGCACGAAAGCGUGGGGAGCAAACAGGAUUAGAUACCCCUAGU
rnacentral:rRNA from 1 species